UGUCAUGGUUUGAGUUUUUCUAUGUAUUAAUUUUGAGUUUCCUCUGUUUCUGAGUCUCCGUGUUGUCCUGUCUCCCCUUAAUUAGUUCCCAGGUGUGUCUCGUUCCCUGAUUACGCCUGUGUAUUUAGUGUCACCUGUGUCUCUGUGUCGGGUCCUUGUCGUGUGUCUAAGCAGUCGUGUGUUGUCGUUGGUCCUUCGUAUGUCCUCUUGCUACCAGUGUUGAGCCUCUGCCUUCCGCUCUGCUCUGCUGUGCUGCCAGGAUUUUGGACUGUUUUUGGAUUUGUUUGCACCUUGUUCUCAUCAUUAAAUCACCAUAAUCAUCUCAUCCUGGGUCUGCUGCGUCUGCCUCACCAUUCACACCACCGCACUUCAUGACAGAAAUCAGUGCAUGAGUAAGCUGGAGUGGGCUCUGGCGUUCCACACCGAUGACUUCAUGUAACAGGAGAAGAGAAAGAACGGGGAACAGGCAGGUCUGCUGGGCUCAAGUUUUGUCAACGGACAUCAAUCUCUCUUGUCUGUCAACCCUGUAACUUCCAACCCCUGACCCGAACCCCACCCUCUGAUGGCAUGGCUUACAAGGCCUCCUAGAUGGAGGAUUCCUUGUCGGAGGGGUCCAGCUGAGUGGCACUGGAGACAGUAAUCUGGCCUGAGAUGACACUCUGUCUCAAAAGGAUGGAUCUCAUAUUCCUCUGGUCUCAGUUUAAACCCAAAUUUAUGCAGCAUCUUUUUAGCAUUAUUUCCUUGACUCUCUGUUUUCUUCUCGCUGUUCUUCUCUUUUCCACCAUUUCCCAUAUUAUGCUGAUUUCAAUAGCAAAAUUUAGUGUCAAUUAGGUCAAUGUACAUUAACAAGUCAGCCUUGAAAUCUAACAAAUGAAGUUUGAAGGAUGAAACAUGAUGAAACAAUUGAGUAAUAUUCAUUCCACCUGAAAGGAACAAGUGAAUUUCCACUUCACCGCUCAGAAUACAAAAGUUUUGCAUGUACAUAAAAAAAUGGGUUUCUGCAGUCAAGUAGAUGCCAAAUUAAGUAAGGAUUGUUUGAAAUUAGCACAUGCAGUAGAUAUAAAUUAAAAUCAAAAUUUAGAUAUGACACAAUUUACAAUCAUCAGUCAUAGCGGCAAAAUGGCAAUUAAAUUUUCCAGCCUCAUGUAUAUAAAUUAUGCUGCUACAGGAUUUUCAAGUUGAAUUUCUAUAUACGUUUUUGCACAGUCCACUCUGAUUUGUCCUCACAAAAAAAAUAUAUCUUACAGCUAUGCUACGUAACUUUCAGAAAAAAAUAUUUUUUUUACAUAUCUGUUUUAUUAUAUAUUUUACAAUAACUGAUACAUGAACACUAGAGAGAGGAGUUACCAGCAGCAACCGCUCAACCAAUCAGGCAUAUUUGAGGUCACACGAAAGAUACAGUGAAUUAAACAAGCAGCAACACUUAGAAUUUUUAUAUAUUUUCCAAAUCACUUAGGGGUUUGUUGACUGAAUACUACAAACAUGUAUUCAUUCUGUAGAGUAAAUAAAAUAUGCUUACAUUCACGUUUUUACAAGUUAACUAUAUUUGAAAUUAUUGUGAAUUAUUUUUCAGCCUCCUAAGCUUCAGUAAUUGGAAAAAUCAAUACAUCCAUGUAAGGCAAACUUGUACAUAUUUUUUGGAUGACACCUAAGUGGAUGAGAAGUUUAUUUUGACUAAAUUUAAGGUCCUUCAGAAAUCUU